GCGACAGGCUUAACACAUGCAAGUCGAGGGGCAGCAUGAUUUGUAGCAAUACAGAUUGAUGGCGACCGGCGCACGGGUGAGUAACGCGUAUGCAACUUACCUAUCAGAGGGGGAUAGCCCGGCGAAAGUCGGAUUAAUACCCCAUAAAACAGGGGUCCCGCAUGGGAAUAUUUGUUAAAGAUUCAUCGCUGAUAGAUAGGCAUGCGUUCCAUUAGGCAGUUGGCGGGGGUAACGGCCCACCAAACCGACGAUGGAUAGGGGUUCUGAGAGGAAGGUCCCCCACAUUGGUACUGAGACACGGACCAAACUCCUACGGGAGGCAGCAGUGAGGAAUAUUGGUCAAUGGCCGAGAGGCUGAACCAGCCAAGUCGCGUGAAGGAAGAAGGAUCUAUGGUUUGUAAACUUCUUUUAUAGGGGAAUAAAGUGGAGGACGUGUCCUUUUUUGUAUGUACCCUAUGAAUAAGCAUCGGCUAACUCCGUGCCAGCAGCCGCGGUAAUACGGAGGAUGCGAGCGUUAUCCGGAUUUAUUGGGUUUAAAGGGUGCGUAGGUGGUGAUUUAAGUCAGCGGUGAAAGUUUGUGGCUCAACCAUAAAAUUGCCGUUGAAACUGGGUUACUUGAGUGUGUUUGAGGUAGGCGGAAUGCGUGGUGUAGCGGUGAAAUGCAUAGAUAUCACGCAGAACUCCGAUUGCGAAGGCAGCUUACUAAACCAUAACUGACACUGAAGCACGAAAGCGUGGGGAUCAAACAGGAUUAGAUACCCUGGUAGUCCACGCAGUAA
rnacentral:rRNA from 1 species